CUGCUGUUUAUUGCUGCUGCUGCUGCUGCUACUACUACCGAAAGAGGAUUCAUUACACUAAUAUGAGUAGUAUAUUUCCCUCUAAUUGGUUUAAAUCUCUGUGCUGGGGGGAAAUACCAACAAGCUGUUGGUACACAUAGCCUAAUAAUAUUUGGUGAUUAGUUUGAAUGGCCUUGGGCUUACGAGGUAGCUAAGCCAUUGACUGACAUGCUUGUCACAAUCAACAACCUGAGCCGACCAGAGGAGGAUGGGUUUCCCCCUUGAGCCUGGUUCCUUCCUAUGUGCCACAGGGAGUUUUCCUUGCCACUGUCACCUUAGGCUUGUGUAACAAGUGCUUCAAUACUAACACCGUUACUAGAAUGGAUAAAAUCAGGUAAGUAUGGACCAGAUCAGAAGACAACAGAUUCGACUCGAGAGAGAGAGGCGGUUUGCACAUCAAGAAUGAAGCACACGGAAGCAGGAUCUGUAUUUCAAAGAUUUCAGGUCGAUCACAUGGGUGGCUCGCCAGUCCGCGCACCGCUGUAGCUCUCCAGGGAAGGCAAGCAGGGGCGGACGAAUCCAGGAUCCAGCACAGCGGUUCAAAUCCAACAACAACAAAAAACAACACACCAACAAAAAAAAAAAACCUGGCCUUGCAACACAAAGCCAAAAGACUCAUCAGUAGUCUGUACAUUCAGAUUAAGACAUAGUAUACACUGUGAACAUCAAAAUUGUAUAACACUUGUAACCUUCCAUUUACUCUGUUAAAUAAACUUAGUGAAAGCUUA